ACCUACUCUACUUGGUGUAGCAUAGCCAGCUGAAGCCGAGGAAUCACUGGACUUCCAGUCCUCAUCUUACCCUAACUCCCAGGGCACCAAGGGCUGAUCCUGACUUUGGUUCCAGUUUCGUCUUGGUGUUUUACAUCAGAGUGUUUGGCCUACAUCAUGAACGGCUGUGUGUGAUGCCACUAGGUGGCAAUGUGGACGUUUUAUUUAAAAGACCAUGGAUGGUUUGCUGUACAGGUGGCCCUACAAAUAGUGCAGACGUGUGCAUUUGUGCUGCCUUUGAUGGGGUGGAAAUCCCUUUUGAUUUCUAAAGUAAAUGAGGAGAACUUACAGCAAUAAUAGACUCCUUUGAACAACUAACAUAUAUUCAAAAUUCUGUAACAGAGACCUGUGGUAAAAAUGGUGAAGACCCAGCAAGUUUCGUUGGCUAUUCUGUGGCUUCAGUUACACUGGGUAAGCGGUAAAAAUGGAGUGGAGCAGAGUCCCCAAUACCUGAGUGCCCAGGAAGGAGACCUCGUCACAAUCAACUGUAAUUACUUAGAAGGAAUGACCACUUUACAGUGGUUGCAACAGAAUCCUGGAGGAGGCAUCAUCUCCUUGCUUAUUCUGAGCCUAGAGAUGAAGAGGAAAGGAAGAGUAAGUGCCACAAUAAACAGCAGGGAACGUUACAGCUCCCUGAACAUCACAGCCUCCCAGCCCACAGACUCUGCCAUCUACUUCUGUGCUGUGGAGACACAGUGCUCUGCAGACAUCUGGAACCUGUACCCAAACUCUGAAGCUGAAAGGCAUCAUCUCUUCUCAUCCUUGUCUUUCCAUAUUCAUCUGUCUCUUUCAUCAGACCGAUGAGACUCCUUUGACCAACUAAAAUAUAUUCCAAAUGAUGCAUUUCAAAAACUUUUUAAAUUUAAGAUUUCCCCCCUGCAGACCACCCCUAAUCGCUAAAGCAUCAUCACCAAGUAUGUUAACUAGAACAAUAUAUGAGCUAUUGCAUAAGAAGUAGAAUAUACACUCUCUGGAGCUAAAUUGCCAGGGUAUAAAAAUACUGGUUCCACCUCUUGCUAACUGGAUGAUCUUGGUCAAGUUACCUUUCUAUAUGCCUCAGUUUUUACUCAAUUAUUUAAAAAAAAAAAAAGGGAAACCGUUAACCACAGUACCUAACUCCUAUUUGUGGGAUGACAUGUGAUAACACAU